rnacentral:misc_RNA from 1 species
GAUGAAGAACGCAGCGAAAUGCGAUAAGUAAUGUGAAUUGCAGAAUUUAGUGAAUCAUCGAAUCUUUGAACGCACAUUGCGCCCGCCAGCAUUCUGGCGGGCAUGCCUGUUCGAGCGUCAUUUCAACCCUCGACCUCCCCUUGGGGAGGUCGGCGUUGGGGACCGGCAGCACACCGCCGGCCCUGAAAUGGAGUGGCGGCCCGUCCGCGGCGACCUCUGCGCAGUAAUACAGCUCGCACCGGGACCCCGACGCGGCCACGCCGUAAAACACCCAACUUCUGAACGUUGACCUCGAAUCAGGUAGGACUACCCGCUGAACUUAAGCAUAUCAAUAAGCGGAGGA